CUAGCGGCUCUCCCCGCGUCCAAGAUGGCGGCAGAAGCAGCUGGUGGGAAAUACAGAAGCACAGUCAGCAAAAGCAAAGACCCCUCGGGGCUGCUCAUCUCUGUGAUCAGGACUCUGUCUACUAGUGACGAUGUCGAAGACAGGGAAAAUGAAAAGGGUCGCCUUGAAGAAGCCUACGAGAAAUGUGACCGUGACCUGGAUGAAUUGAUUGUACAGCACUACACAGAAUUGACGACAGCCAUUCGCACAUACCAGAGCAUCACAGAGCGCAUCACUAACUCCCGAAAUAAAAUAAAGCAGGUAAAAGAGAACCUGCUUUCAUGCAAGAUGCUGCUGCACUGCAAACGGGAUGAGCUUCGGAAACUGUGGAUUGAAGGAAUUGAGCAUAAGCAUGUCCUGAACUUGUUGGAUGAAAUUGAGAAUAUCAAGCAAGUGCCUCAAAAGCUGGAACAGUGCAUGGCCAGCAAGCACUAUCUCAGUGCCACUGACAUGUUGGUGUCAGCAGUUGAGUCUUUGGAGGGCCCCCUGCUCCAGGUGGAAGGACUGAGUGACCUUCGACUAGAGCUUCACAGCAAGAAGAUGAACCUUCACUUGGUUCUCAUAGAUGAACUACACCGGCACCUGUACAUCAAAUCGACUAGCCGAGUUGUGCAGCGUAACAAGGAAAAAGGGAAAAUCAGCUCCCUCGUGAAAGAUGCUUCUGUUCCUCUGAUUGAUGUUACAAACCUCCCUACUCCUCGAAAAUUCCUUGAUACCUCUCACUAUUCUACUGCUGGAAGCUCAAGUGUGAGGGAGAUAAAUCUGCAGGACAUCAAGGAAGAUUUAGAAUUGGAUCCAGAGGAAAACAGCACCCUGUUUAUGGGUAUCCUCAUUAAGGGCUUGGCGAAACUGAAGAAGAUCCCAGAAACAGUUAAGGCAAUCAUAGAGCGCUUGGAGCAGGAGUUGAAGCAAAUUGUGAAGAGGUCUACAACCCAGGUGGCAGACAGUGGCUAUCAGCGGGGGGAGAACGUUACUGUGGAGAACCAACCAAGGUUGCUUCUAGAACUGCUGGAGUUACUGUUUGACAAGUUUAAUGCUGUAGCCGCUGCACACUCUGUGGUCCUGGGAUACCUGCAGGACACUGUAGUGACUCCACUGACUCAGCAGGAAGAUAUCAAACUGUAUGAUAUGGCAGAUGUAUGGGUGAAGAUCCAAGAUGUUCUACAGAUGCUAUUAACUGAGUACUUGGAUAUGAAAAAUACUCGUACGGCCUCUGAACCAUCAGCUCAACUAAGCUAUGCCAGCACUGGACGAGAGUUUGCAGCCUUUUUUGCCAAGAAGAAACCUCAAAGGCCAAAAAAUUCUCUUUUCAAGUUCGAAUCGUCCUCCCAUGCCAUCAGUAUGAGCGCCUAUCUGCGAGAACAGAGAAGGGAGCUCUAUAGUCGGAGUGGAGAACUGCAAGGGGGUCCUGAUGACAACUUAAUUGAAGGUGGAGGAACAAAAUUUGUCUGCAAACCUGGAGCCAGAAACAUUACCGUCAUAUUCCACCCAUUACUAAGAUUUAUUCAGGAGAUUGAGCAUGCUCUGGGUCUUGGCCCAGCCAAACAGUGUCCUCUUCGAGAGUUUCUCACCGUGUACAUCAAAAACAUCUUUCUCAAUCAAGUCUUGGCUGAGAUCAACAAGGAGAUUGAAGGAGUCACUAAAACAUCUGACCCUUUGAAGAUUCUGGCCAACGCAGACACCAUGAAGGUGCUGGGAGUGCAGCGGCCUCUCCUACAGAGCACAAUCAUUGUGGAGAAGACAGUUCAAGACCUCCUGAACCUGAUGCAUGACUUGAGUGCAUAUUCAGAUCAAUUCCUCAACAUGGUGUGCGUGAAGCUCCAGGAGUACAAGGACACCUGCACUGCAGCUUACAGGGGUAUUGUCCAGUCAGAAGAAAAACUUGUCAUCAGUGCAUCCUGGGCAAAAGAUGAUGAUAUCAGCAGACUCUUGAAAUCUCUACCAAACUGGAUGAAUAUGGCUCAACCCAAACAGCUGAGGCCAAAAAGAGAGGAGGAAGAAGAUUUCAUAAGGGCAGCUUUUGGCAAGGAGUCUGAAGUUCUUAUUGGGAACCUGGGUGAUAAAUUAAUCCCUCCACAAGACAUCCUUCGUGACGUCAGUGACCUCAAAGCCUUGGCCAACAUGCAUGAAAGCCUGGAAUGGUUGGCAAGUCGAACAAAGUCAGCUUUCUCCAAUCUUUCUACAUCCCAGAUGCUUUCUCCUGCUCAAGACAGCCACACGAACACGGAUCUCCCCCCAGUGUCAGAGCAGAUCAUGCAGACUCUCAGUGAACUUGCCAAAUCGUUCCAGGAUAUGGCUGACCGCUGCUUGCUUGUCUUACAUCUGGAAGUGAGGGUUCACUGUUUCCACUAUCUUAUCCCUCUUGCAAAGGAGGGGAACUAUGCCAUUGUGGCUAAUGUGGAAAGUAUGGAUUAUGACCCCCUGGUGGUCAAGCUCAACAAAGAUAUCAGCGCCAUUGAAGAGGCCAUGAGCGCCAGCCUUCAGCAGCACAAGUUCCAGUAUAUCUUCGAAGGCCUGGGCCACCUGAUCUCCUGCAUCCUCAUUAAUGGUGCCCAGUACUUCAGGCGCAUCAGUGAGUCUGGCAUCAAGAAAAUGUGUAGGAACAUUUUUGUUCUUCAGCAGAAUUUGACCAACAUCACCAUGUCGCGGGAGGCAGACCUGGACUUUGCAAGGCAGUACUACGAGAUGCUUUACAACACAGCUGACGAGCUCCUGAACCUGGUGGUGGACCAGGGUGUGAAGUACACGGAGCUGGAGUACAUCCACGCUCUGACCCUGCUGCACCGCAGCCAGACUGGGGUGGGGGAACUGACCACCCAGAACACGAGGCUGCAGAGGCUCAAAGAGAUCAUCUGCGAGCAGGCUGCCAUCAAGCAAGCCACCAAGGACAAGAAGAUAACUACCGUUUAGCAGGGCGUACUGCGGUUGGUGACGGGGGUCCCCUCAGUCACACUCACUUUUUUCCUUGCAAAUAUUCCCCAGAAGCCUAAUAUGUGCUCCAUGCUACCACACACAAGGGCAAAUGGAUAGAUGAAGAGGACACCCUUAUUAUCUAAGAGUGUGGGAACUGGACUGGAGCCAAAAAUCCCAACAGCUCAAACUCAGGGCUGGGUCAGAAUCAGGCGGAGAACCCGGAGUGGUGACAGUGAUGGCAGCAGAGCCAGGGUGAGACUGAGAGUGCUCAGACUAAUUUUCUUGGAAGUAGUGGAAAGCUCCGCUAAAAAAGAAACAUGGGUUUGGAUUGAGCAGAAUGUCAAGAGCCCUGAGAACCAACCAAAAAAUGGCAGAUGAGCUGUUUCAGGGGCAACAUUUAGGAAAGUGAAAUCUCUGCUUUGCUUACAAUGACGGGACUGAAAAUGGCAAUUCUGCACAGGAAAGGGACUGUGGGACUCUUCCAAGACAUUUAGGACAUCCAAGUUUCUUUGAAGGUUGGCACAUCAGUCUUUAUUCUUCCACAGGUAAAGAACAGCCAGUGACACACUCAGUGGGUGGUCAAUGGCUACCUCACAACCUAUAUGCAUUUGGGACACAGUGAAGAUUUCCACAUUUUGGUCCUACUUAGGAGUAUUUUGUGAGGCUGUUGUGCUGUUUACAGCCUUGACCAACCAGAAAGUGCUAGAGAGAGCCAGGGUCUGCCAAGGACAGGGCCCACGAAACACAUACACAGUUACGUAAUGUUCUUGUGUGAAGACCUCUCCCUAAGUGUGCUAUUGCAGAUAAGAAGGCCAACAAAGGUCAGGCAUGGUGGCUCACACCUGUAAUCCCAGCACUUUGGGAGGCUGAGGCAGGCAGAUCAGGAGGUCAGGAGUUCGAGACCAGCCUGGCCAACAUAGUGAAACCCCAUCUCUACUAAAAAUACAAAAAUUAGCUGGUGUGGUGGUGCACACCUGUAAUCCCAGCUACUCAGGAGGCUGAGGCAGGAGAAUCGCUUGAACCUGGGAGGUGGAAGUUGCAGUGAGCCCAGAUCACACCAUUGCACUCCAGCCUAGGCGACAGAGCGACACUCUGUCUCAAAAAAAAAAAAAAAAAAAAAAAAAGGCCAACGAAAUACGCCUUACCAGAAGGGGUGCUGGAAACAAAGCAAACCGUUUUCUCAUUCUUAUACAGAGGUACAAAUGGGAGGGAUGUGUGGACUGCUGCCUGCAUCACUAGUCACUGUGCCAUGGAGUAGGCCCACGGGAGUAGGAGGGGUCCUGAGAUGGGAAAUCAACAUGACCAUGAAGAAGGAAGGCUUUGGAGUGAUGUCAUCCAACUUGGUUCUCAGAACAGCAGCUCCCAGAGAGCACUUCCUUCUAACACUGUUAUCUACUCUCUGGUACUUAGCAUGUGUUCCCAUUUAGUCCUCACAGCAACCCUUAUCAUAAAUAUUACUUUCCUCUCUUCCAUACCCAAGGGCCCAGAAACUACUGAAAGAAUCUCUUUCAAGUUAGCCUUCGUUGGAAUAAAUUCCUUGAAAAAGAGGUAGUUCAUCAGCUAGGACCCAACUCUUAUAUAUAUAUAUACACACACACACACACACACACACACACACACACACAGGCAAUUGUGUUCUUGGAAGUGCUGGUGGUGGUUUCUUCUAUAUUUUUGGUUACUUUUAGCUAUAUAUUAUUGCCUGUCAGUAUACCUUCCAAUUUAUAAAUGAAACUACUCUUUGGGUGAUAUUGUGCCCCUUACCCCACAAGCACUUCUUUCUACCUGCUCUAUUAAUACAGGUUCUUUCAGGGUCUCUCAUCCUAGGCGGUGUUUUUAUUCCUACCUCACAGUAGGGCUUUGAAAUCUUACUGCCCAACUAGAACAUUUUCCCCCUCCACACUGAUUUCAUCCCAAUAAUUAGACAAGGAUUGGUUCCUCAGGUUGCUCUUGCUGGUUAAGGACAAGUCCUGCUUCCAGGCUCUGAAAGACAAGUUUAUUUUUUAGUAUGUCCAGAUCAGCUCAAGUUUAGUGGUAAGACCAGGCCUGAGCUGCUACAGCCCAUACUCUUGAAACCCAUCCUCUUGAAACUCUUGACACCACACUGGAAACCUUGUGAAAAGCCUCUGCUUUUCAUGACCUUUCCUCCUUGUUUCUGACCUACUUGAGGAAAGGAGCUGAUACAGUUUGGCUGUGUCCCCACCCAAAUAUCAUCUUGAAUUGCAGCUCCCAUAAUCCCACGUGUCAGGGGAGGGACCUGGUAGGAGGUUAAUGAAUCAUGGGGGUGAGUUUUUCCAGUGCUGUUCACAUGAUAGUGAAUUAGUGUCACAGCAUCCAAUGGUUUUAUAAAGGGCAGUUCUCCCACACAUUUCUCCUUGCCUACUGCCAUGUAAGACGUGACUUUGCUCCUCCUUCACCUUUCGCCAUGAUUGUGAGGCCUCCCCAGCCAUGUGGAACUGUGAGUCCAUUAAACCUCUUUUUCAUUAUAAAUUACCCAGUGUCAGGUAUUUCUUCAUAGCAGUAUGAAAAUGGACUAAUAUAGGGGCUGUAUCUUGCCCAUCCUUAGGUACUAUUACUUCUAUUACAUUACUACUAAUCUGGUGGGAUCCUCUUCCAGCAGUUACUGCCCUCUGCAGAGUAACCCCAUUCCAAGAAGCCCCACCCUCUCUCCAAGACUUUAUUCUUGUCUGAAUGUUUUCUGAGCCCGACGGUCCUUAUUUAUGUUUCAAAUAGCUUGGGAGGAAAAACUCCAAUACAGACAACUUGAAUUGGCAACCAAACCCUAAUGCUACUUACUGUCAAGUCAUAUCCGUGAAUUUCGUAGCACUAAUGCAUUCAUUCAGUCAGUCAAAUAGAAUUGCCUGUUACAGCUCAGGUUGAUAUGGGAGUCGGGCAAUGACAGGCAAAAGAAACAGCCCCUUGUGACACAAAGCUUAUACUUCCACUGGCUUCUUACAACUCCUCUCUGAUCUACCCUUCCCAGAGUCCAUAUUUCCCCUCUCGAUUCUCUGUGACCACCCUUUCAUUUAGGAAGACAGCUCAAAUUUCAGCCUGACUCUGUGCACUCUCUUCUGAGCUUUGCUUCUCUGGAAGCUUAGGACUCUCACGAUCCACUGUGCCCCACUAGCUAGCACACCUAGCAGUUCACCCUUUACCAGUUCUUCUUCUUCUUCUCCUUCUUCUUCUCCUUAUUCUCCUUAUUCUCCUACUUCCUCCCUCCUCUUCUCCUCCUCCUUCUCCCCCUCAUUCUCCUCCUCCUCCUUUCUUCCUUCUCCCCCUCCUUCUCCUCCUUCUCCUCCUCCUUCUCCUUCUUCCUCCUCCCUCUUCUCCUCCUUCUCCGCCUCUUCUCCCCCUACUUCUCCUUCCUCCUUCCUCCUCUUCUCCUCCUCCUUCUCCUGCUCCUCCUCCUUCUCCUUCCUCCUCCAUCCUCUUCUCCUCCUUCUUCUCCUUUCUUCUUUCUUCUUCUUUGAGACAAGGUCUCACUCUGUUGCCCCGGCUGGAGUGCAUUGGCACCAUUUCAGCUCACUGCAACCUCUGCCUCCUGGGUUCAAGCGAUUCUCACACCUCUGCCUCUCAAGUAGCUGGAACUACAGACCAUGCCCAGAUAAUUUUUGUAUUUUUAGUACAGAUGGGAUUUCACCAUGUUGGCCAGGCUGGUCUCAAACCCCUGGGGCUCAGCCUCCCAAAGCGCUGGGACUACAGGCAUGAGCCACCACACCUGGCCCCUUUACCAUUUCUUGAUGGAACUAAUGGAUUCCCACCCCACAGCCUUUAUGAAUGGACUGAGGCCAUUGAAUUCAGGAUUCUUACUUUGGUGUGUAGCUGUGGCUGCCUCCCUAGGACCAGGGCACAGAAAUUUCACAGUAACCAAUGAGAGAGACCAGGGGCCAGCUCCAAGCCAGAGUCAUUUCAUUCAGGGCAGAUGUGAUCAGAAGACCAGCCAAGGGGCUGUCCCUCUAGCAGGAUGUGAAAACAAGGAGAGUCCUGGUCAACACAAUUUUGCUUGGAAAGCAAAGUGGGUGCUGAAAUACCUACACCUGAGAGCGAUUGUCUUAAUGUGGCAGGAAUGUAAAACAAAUUGGACAUAAUUUGGAGGGAGGGUAAUGAGGUACCACGAACAAGAAAACAUAAAGAAUCACUAGGCUCGGCAAGGUGUCAACCCUGUCCUAAUUAGGCACAGUUGUUAUAAGAAGUACAUAAUUAAUAAGCGUGUGACCAGAUGUGAAAUACAGCAGAGGUUUUUCCUGAAAUGGAGGGUGUAAUGAACUGCGCAGCUGGAAGUAGUUGUCCUAAUUUGGCGCAGGCGGAAGGCCUGCCUGGAAUUUUGAAGAGGUGUAGUAAGAUGCACACCACAGGUUUACACCUGAAAACAACUAAUCCUAUUCCAACUGGACUGGGGUGUAAUGAGAUAGAGCUACUUAUCAAGAGUGUAAUGAGAUGCAAAAGCCAUUGGAACUGAGCUGGAAAUUUCUUUAAAAGUGAACUAAGACGCAAACACCAGGAAAGAAUUUCUGCUAAUGGAGGUAGGUGUGAGUGUGAUGAAACGUACACCAUGUGAGGAGAGGCUGCUUUAACAUGUCUGGGCCAAAGACGCGUCUGUAAUUAAAAAUAUUGCCAGGACAUUUACACACCUGGAGCAAGAGUCCCUGGGAACCUAAGAACGCAAUGACUUGUAAAAGCCACAUGCAUACUAUUAAGAUGUAUGUGACCACUUAUGUGUGUACAAAUAACUGGAAAAAAAAUAAAAGGAACUUAGGUGUUUUCGGGUGA